rnacentral:misc_RNA from 1 species
GUGAAUCAUCAAAUCUUUGAACGCAUAUUGCACUCUCUGGUAUUCCGGAGAGUAUGCCUGUUUGAGGGUCAGUUAAAUCAAAAUCGGGUGUUUUGCCACCUGUGUCUGUUACGCCUCGGUAUUGGGACGUCUUUACCUUUCGGUUAUGUGACUUAGAAUUUUUGAAUGAUAUCUGAACGUAUUUAAAUUUAUUUGGUACGUCUUUUUACUAUCGCAUGGU